GUCAAAUGACGAAAGGCUUACGGUGGAUACCUAGGCAUCCAAAGACGAGGAAGGGCGUGGAAACCAACGAAAUGCUUCGAGAAGCUGGAAACAAGCUAUGAUCCGGAGAUCCCCGAAUAGGGCAACCUAGUAAACUACCUAUUGAAUUCAUAAAUAGGCAAGAGGUAACCUGGUGAACUGAAACAUCUUAGUAGCCAGAGGAAAAGAAAGCAAACGCGAUUCCCUUAGUAGCGGCGAGCGAAAUGGGAACAGCCUAAACCGGUAAAUCCCGGGGUUGUGGGAGAACAUACAAAAAAGACAUCAUUCAUUAUCAUUUUUAUCUUGUUCGCACUUGUUUCAUCAUUUCUUUUCACUCAUUCUUCGUGUUCAUCUUCGAUGAAGAUGAUGAAGAUGAAUGAUGAACGCGUGUAAGAUGAAAGAAAUACGUGAAUGAAAAGGCUAAACGAAGCAGCUGAAUCCUGCACCAUAGAUGGUGAAAGUCCAGUAGUUAAAAGCCUAAAGCAAAGUUCAUCCCGAGUAGCAUGGGACACGUGAAAUCCCGUGUGAAUCUGCGAGGACCACCUCGUAAGGCUAAAUACUCUUGGAUGACCGAUAGUGAAGUAGUACCGUGAGGGAAAGGUGAAAAAGAACCCCUGUAGGGGAGUGAAAUAGAACAUGAAACCGUAAGCUAUCAAACAGUGGGAGGGUGUUACACCUGACCGCGUACCUGUUGAAGAAUGGGCCGGCGACUUAUAAAAAGUGGCCUGGUUAAGGAGAAUUCCUCCGAAGCCAAAGCGAAAGCAAGUCUUAAUAGGGCGUUAGUCACUUUUUAUAGACCCGAACCCGGGUGAUCUAACCAUGGCCAGGAUGAAGCUUGGGUAAAACCAAGUGGAAGUCCGAACCGACCGAUGUUGAAAAAUCGGCGGAUGAGCUGUGGUUAGGGGUGAAAUGCCAAUCGAACUCGGAGCUAGCUGGUUCUCCCCGAAAUGCGUUGAGGCGCAGCGGUUGAUGAUAGGGCUAUCUAGGGGUAAAGCACUGUUUCGGUGCGGGCUGCGAGAGCGGUACCAAAUCGUGGCAAACUAAGAAUACUAGGUAUUGCUUUCCAUCAGCCAGUGAGACGGUGGGGGAUAAGCUUCAUCGUCGAAAGGGAAACAGCCCAGAUCAUCAGCUAAGGCCCCUAAAUGGUCGCUAAGUGAUAAAGGAGGUGAGAAUGCUUAAACAACCAGGAGGUUUGCUUAGAAGCAGCCACCCUUAAAAGAGUGCGUAAUAGCUCACUGGUGGAGCGUUCUUGCGCCGAAAAUGAACGGGACUAAGCGAUCUGCCGAAGCUGUGGGAUUUUUUGAAAACGAAAAAAUCGGUAGGGGAGCGUUCUGUUGUAGGGUGAAGCAUCAAUGAAAAUAGGUGUGGACGAAGCGGAAGUGAGAAUGUCGGCUUGAGUAACGCAAACAUUGGUGAGAAUCCAAUGCCCCGAAAACCUAAGGGUUCCUCCACGAGGUUCGUCCAUGGAGGGUGAGUCAGGUCCUAAGGCGAGGCCGAAGGGCGUAGUCGAUGGAAAACAGGUUAAUAUUCCUGUACUAAUUUUUGUUUGGUACCGAGGGACGAAGAAGGUAGGAAUUGGCUGACUAUGGAUUUCAGCGGAAAUCUUCGAGGUGUUGAGAGGGAGAAGAAAAACUCACCUUAAGCUGAGAGAUGAUACGGCUUCAUUCCCUAGAUUAUUACAUUUUGUAGUAAUCUAUAAUGAAACUCAAUUACCUAUCAAACUUCCAAGAAAAGCUCGAACUACUGUAUAGCAAAAAUUACCUGUACCCGAAACCGACACAGGUAGGUAGGUAGAGUAUACCAAGGGGCGCGAGAUAACUCUCUCUAAGGAACUCGGCAAAAUGGCCCCGUAACUUCGGGAGAAGGGGUACCCUCUUUAAGAGGGUCGCAGUGACCAGGCCCAGGCGACUGUUUACCAAAAACACAGGUCUCCGCUAAGUCGUAAGACGAAAUAUGGGGGCUGACGCCUGCCCAGUGCCGGAAGGUGAAGGAAGUUGGUGAGAGCUGACGACCGAAGCCCCGGUGAACGGCGGCCGUAACUAUAACGGUCCUAAGGUAGCGAAAUUCCUUGUCGGGUAAGUUCCGACCCGCACGAAAGGCGUAACGAUCUGGGCACUGUCUCGGAGAGAGACUCGGUGAAAUAGACAUGUCUGUGAAGAUGCGGACUUCCUGCACCUGGACAGAAAGACCCUAUGAAGCUUGACUGUAGCUUGGAAUUGGGUUUGGGCUCCUCUUGCGCAGCCUAGGUGGGAGGCGUUGAAAAUUUCCUUCCGGGGAAAUUCGAGCCGAUAGUGAGAGACCACUCUGGAGGAGCUAGAAUUCUAAUGGCGAUCCUUGAAUCAGGACGCUUGACAGUUUCAGGUGGGCAGUUUGACUGGGGCGGUCGCCUUAUAAAAGGUAACUAAGGCGUGCAAAGGUUCCCUCAGGCUGGACGGAAAUCAGCCGUAGAGUGUAAAGGCAGAAGGGAGCUUGACUGCAAGACCUACAAGUCGAGCAGGGGCGAAAGCCGGCCUUAGUGAUCCGACGGUACCGUGUGGAAGGGCCGUCGCUCAACGGAUAAAAGUUACUCUAGGGAUAACAGGCUGAUCUUCCCCAAGAGUUCACAUCGACGGGAAGGUUUGGCACCUCGAUGUCGGCUCAUCGCAACCUGGGGCGGUAGUACGUCCCAAGGGUUGGGCUGUUCGCCCAUGAAAGCGGUACGUGAGCUGGGUUCAGAACGUCGUGAGACAGUUUGGUCCAUAUCCGGUGUAGGCGCUAGAGCAUUGAGAGGAGCCUUCCAUAGUACGAGAGGACCUGGAAGGACGCACCAAUAGUAUACCAGUUCUCUUACCAAAGGGAAACGCUGGGUAGCCAAGUGCGGAGCGGAUAACUGCUGAAAGCAUCUAAGUAGGAAGCCCACCUCAAGAUGAGUGCUCUCUUAAGGUCACGGCAAGACAAGCCGUUUGAUAGGUGUCAAGUGUAAGGCCAGCAAUGGUUUCAGCUGAGACAUACUAAUAGGCCGUAUGAUUUUGAC
rnacentral:rRNA from 1 species